rnacentral:rRNA from 1 species
UACAGAGGUGCCAAGCGUUAGGCGGAAUCACUGGGCUUAAAGCGCGUGUAGGCGGGUCGUUAAGUGUCCGAGUGAAAUCCCACGGCUCAACCGUGGAACUGCCGGGCAUACUGGCGAUCUUGAGGCAUUCAGGGGCGAGCGGAACAAAUGGUGGAGCGGUGAAAUGCGUAGAUAUCAUUUGGAACGCCAAUGGUGAAAACAGCUCGCUGGGAAUGAUCUGACGCUGAGACGCGGAAAGCCAGGGGAGCGAACGGG